UGCGGUAUCCUGACCGUGCUAAGGUAGCGUAAUAAUUCGCCCUUUAAUUGGGGGCUUGUAUGAACGGACAAACGAAAGAUUUUCUGUCUCCUUUAUAUUAAUAAAAAUUGACCUUCAGGUGAAGAUGCCUGAAUUAUGUUAGAAGACAAGAAGACCCCAUAGAGCUUAGUUUACUACAUUCAAUAACCAAUAAAUUAUUUAUAAAAAUAAAUAUUUAACUCCCUAAACUUGGCUGGGGCGGCAUGGGAGAAAACCACAAUCCUCCACAUCACUAUAUAUUAAGGCCAAUAAGCCAUACCAAACAAUUAUAAAUGAUCUUUACUAUAACCAUAAAACAAGCUACCUUGGGGAUAACAGAUUAAUCCUUCUUGAGAGUCCACAUUAACAGAAGGGCUUGACACCUCGAUGUUGGCUUAGGGUAUCCUAAGGGUAGCAGCAGCCCUUAAAGGUAGGUUUGUUCAACCUUCAAAACCCUACAUGAUCUGAGUUCAAACCGGAGA
rnacentral:rRNA from 1 species